AAUCAACAUAAAAACCCUAAAUCCUUUUUGCUCUACCCUCAGCCGACACACACCCUGCCCCUGAUCCCUGCUACUUCCUCGACUCCGACGACCGAAGUAAACGCCGGCGAACCGCCGCACCCACACCUCCUCCGACCUCCUCUUCGUCUCCCACCUACACACCUCAACACUCACCUUCGAACACCUACACAUUUUCAGCCGACACCCUUCUUUGUAUCUGUCUCUCCUCCGGCUCCGGCACGAUGGCAACGAGCAGACAGGGAGGGAGCAGAUCCUGACGGAGGAACUACCGCUCUCGGGUCUGGGUCUGAAAGUAGUCGGCGGCAGCAGUGGUGCAGUGGUGGCCGCAUUUCGACUCCGACGAAGUGGCGACGUCAGAACCUAUCGAAUGGAUAUGGUUGACCAACUUAGAUGAAUGCUUUAUCUACCGAGCAAAACGAG
rnacentral:lncRNA from 1 species